rnacentral:rRNA from 1 species
ACACAAAGGUUGAGAGUGGGCUCGGUGAAGAGACCCAAAACUCGGUAAUGACUCCCUGUAGUAUGGGUUCUGCGGAAGGAUCAUUACCGAGUUUUGGGUCUCUUCACCGAGCCCACUCUCCAACCCUUUGUGUACCUACCUCUGUUGCUUUGGCGGGCCGCGGUUCUCCGCGGCCGGCCCCCUGACCGGGGCUGGCCCGCGCCCGCCAGAGGACCACAAAACUCCAGUCAGUGAACUUUGCUGUCUGAUACCAAUUCAAUAAACUAAAACUUUCAACAACGGAUCUCUUGGUUCUGGCAUCGAUGAAGAACGCAGCGAAAUGCGAUAAGUAAUGUGAAUUGCAGAAUUCAGUGAAUCAUCGAAUCUUUGAACGCACAUUGCGCCCUUUGGUAUUCCGAAGGGCAUGCCUGUUCGAGCGUCAUUACACCCCUCAAGCUCUGCUUGGUAUUGGGCACCGUCCUCUCGGACGCGCCUCAAAGACCUCGGCGGUGGCGUCUUGCCUCAAGCGUAGUAGAAAACACCUCGCUUUGGAGGACGGGACGACCGCUCGCCGGACGAACCUUUGAAUUCAUUUUCCUAGGUUGACCUCGGAUCAGGUAGGGAUACCCGCUGAACUUAAGCAUAUCAAAAACGGCGGGGAGGGAUCAUUACCGAGUUUUGGGUCUCUUCACCGAGCCCACUCUCAACCUU